CAAAGAAAAGGAUCCAAAUGAAAUCAACAUCUAGACUUAGGGUUUUAUCUGACAGAAUUCCACGAGUUUUGGUGUUUGUCUAUUUCUGCAGGGGGUUAUCAGGAAAUAAGAAAGAAAGGCCCACAUGUCGGGAUUACAUAGAGAUAUCAACCCACCGCGCAAUUUUCUACCAUCUAGAAGACUCCAGAAGCCACGAGACCGAAGCGGAGGCG
rnacentral:lncRNA from 1 species